rnacentral:tRNA from 1 species
GGCCCCGUGGUGUAACGGUUAGCACUUAGGACUCUGAAUCCUGAGAUCCGAGUUCAAAUCUCGGCGGGACCU